rnacentral:lncRNA from 1 species
AAGCUAUGACUCAGAUAACUCAGCAGUGCACAAAGCUAUGUCUAUCGGAAGACAGUAAAAUUCCAGAGAUAAAAGGAGACAUUGGGACACUCCAUAAAACCCAUAACGUUUAUCAAGCUACAACUGCAGGUACAAGCAAAGGAGUUAGUGGACAAAGAUAUCAGAACAUGAACAUGAACAAUAUAUUUGAAAAACCAUUUAUAACAAACAUACAAAAAGACCUCUUGUUCAUACCCCCACAAACUACCACAUAUCGAGAAAGUUUAAACCAAGAUAAAAAAAGCCUAUAACUAUAUAACUCGAGCAUACAUAGAAAAUAUCCACAAAAUACAGACUCACCUAAACCUUAGACCCAGAGCUACAAAUAUCCAAGAACCAAACACAGACUAUAUAACCUAAAAACUAUAAGGUUACAACAAGUUAAUCGCAUUACCAAAAAAUAACCCAAAUAAAACCUAUUUCAGUUAUGGACUAUUAAAUACCAUAUAUACCCAAGAAGGAGAUGAACUAACAGCUAUACCAGAAUUAUAUAAAGCAUUCGCCACUUAUAAAAAAAUAAACAAAGAAAAUCUAUUUUUAUAAAGUUUUAUACUGCACUAGCAGUGAUAUCAUAUGACGAAAUUAAACCAGUUAUACAAGUUGUAAAAAUAAGAUUAACUAGAGAUAUGAUUAUACCGGAAGAUAUUGUUCAAUAGCCAGAGAUACCUAAAGUUGAGAUACCUGAUUUUUAUACAAAUAAGCGAACUAUAGGAAUAGCUACAAUUAUUCAAGAACUAGCAAAAAAUUAUCUCAAUGGAAAUCCCAUAUGGAGCUACUAUUCGAGAGAACAAUUAAUGAUCUAUUCAAAUUCAAGGAAGCAACGACAGUCUGAUAUGGAAGAAUUUAAACAAUGGAUUAUGACGUUGCUGAAUCCAGAAAAACAAUCAUCUACAAAGGCAAUUAAAAAGAAAUUUAUUUCAAAAAAUUAUUAACCAGAUAUUACAAAUUAAUAAGACACAAAUGUCCAGACCACCAAUGCUCAAAAUGCCAUGGAGAAAAUAAUGUGAUCCCUAAAGUUCAACUAGAAUAAAAGAAGAUAAGGACGUCAAUUGGAAGAUAGAAAGAUAGCAAUGGAGUAAUGGAGAAAUAAAGACAAAAUAAAAGAGACAAGAUAGUAAAAGUUAUGAAAGAAGAUUUAUUAAAGAAAGUGACAUGUGAAUAGUUUUCUUGACUUUAGAUACGUAAAUUAUAGCAUUUAUUAGUUUUUGAUAAGCUUUCUGACUUUUCUUUGGCAAAGUGCCAUUAUUGUAUAGCUUUAGUCUUUAUUUAUUUUGUCUUUUUGUAGAAUAGUCUUAAGAUUUUUUGUAAAGUCUUUUGUAAAGAUAACAAGUGUAAAGUAGGAACAGUAUAAUAGUAUACACGUUUUCUCCUUUUUAGGUUAUAAAUAGCAGAAGCAUUUGCUAAGUUACGACAAGUCUUUCUACGGAGAGCAAGCCUUCUUGUAUACAAAAAAUAUUCUCUCAUAUAAUAAAUAAAGAUAUUCAGUUUUACACUAAGCUAUGGAUGAGCAAAGCACAAAUUUAUCAUACCUACUAGAACAACUAUUUUCAUUUAUAAUUAUGAAUAGCCAAAUUCAUAAAUUCCUGACAAUCAUGAUAUAAUAAAAUAAGAUCAUAUUAGUUACUUUAUAGUAGAAUUAUUUGAAUAAUAGCAUGUUAAGAAGUUUAUUAGCAAAGUGGAAAAAGAGAAAAAUUCUCAAGAACUAUGUCAUCUUAAAGGUGAAACCGGUGAGGCAAAGAAGCCAUGAUAGGGGAGUAACAAGAGUAGAGGCAUUGUUUAGGGAAAAAGUACCCAGAUUACCAUGCUAAUAGUGACCGAAAAAUAUGUUAUUUAAGAAUAAUCUAGUAUAUAGUGAUCUAAGAUGACCAUAUUUUGUAAUUUAUAUGAUUGGAGGAAAUAUUUUAAAAAUAGCAUCAUAUGAAGAAUGAAUAUUUACUUAUCUGAUGAGAUGAUAGAUAAAUUUAAAAUACUUGUUUUGUAUAUACUUAAGGAUAUAGAAAUAGUAUAUAUAAGAAAAAUUAUAUAUGAAAAGGUAUUUCAUUUUAAUGAAGAGUUAUUAAGUUCUAUAGAAAACCUACACUUAUAUAAUGAUAGCUACUGCUCAUAUUUAGAUAGUUAUUAUUCAGACGGAUAUUAUACAGAUUAAAAAAUAAUAGAAUAUAUUAGAAAAGUUAGAGAAAAAUAAAGUUGGCUAUAUGAAGAAAUUAAUUAUAGGAAUCAACUUAAAGGAGAAAAAAGACAAUUAGAAGAAAAAUUACUUAGAAUAAAAUUAACCUUAGAAAAAUGAGAUACAAAUGAUAGUUUAUAUAAUACUAUAAAUAAACAACAAAUGAUAAUGGAUCACAUAGAUAACAUAGAAUUACAUAUCAAAUAUAGUACGAUUAGAAUAAGUUAUUACACAGAAAUUUGUAAAAUUACAACUACUAUAGGAUAAAAUGAUAAACUACGAAUACUUAGACUAUUGGAGAAAAGAUAUGGAGCAAAUAAGAUUAAUAGAAACACUUAUGAAAAAAAUCUACUUGACUACAUAAAACUAGAAAUAUGGAACAUAGGAAUGCUAUGACAUAGCAUUUCAACAAACAUAAGUUAUCCACACUAUCCGUACCCCCCUAUAAUUUCCUUUAUUUCAACUUCUAUUUUUAUUUUUCUAACUCCUAUUAUUAUUUCCCUUUCUGCUGAAUCAUAGCUAUUAAACUUCUUGGUAGAUCUGGGCAUAUAUUACUAUUAGAUUUUAUUUCUUCAUUUUUCACUAGGUAUUUCGCUGUAUGGUUUUCUUCUUGUCCUGUAUUUAGGAGUAUUAAAUAUUUUUUUCAUUUAUUGUUCCCGUUAUAUAAUAUUGAGUUAAAUUAACUGUUGAAGUUAUUUCAUAAUUUGUUCUUUUCGAUGAUCCUAAUGAUUCUGGUUUUUCAAAAGCUAUUCUUUUUGUUGUGCUUAUUCUAUCAUUUAUUAUUUCUAAAUCUUCUUCUAUAUCUCUGUCUUUGUAACUAUAUUUGUUUUUACAAAUUGGUCAAAAGGUCUUUCUAUUUGUAUUUUAUUUAUUUUAUUUUUUCCCAUUAUUUUAUGUUUUGUUGUUAAUAUAUAUAGAUUUUUACAUCUUGCCGUAAAUAUUUUACUUCCUGGGGUUAGUUAUAUUCCUAAUAUUUUCUAAUAUAAUACUAAUGAUUUAUCUAUAUUUUUAUCUGUUAUUGCUAUUGAAUAAUUCACACUUAUUAUAAAUUUAAAUUUUUGGUAUAUUAGAUUCCUCUUAUAGCAGUUAUUAUACUUUUUUCUAUAACUUUUUUAAUUCUAUCAUCUGCUAAUUGGGUCUUUAUUUUUAUAUCAUUUAUUUCUUUAUUAAUUAUUGUUUUUGUUACUGGUGGUAUACUAGCUCUACCUUUUGCAUAUCUACAGUCUAUUACUAUUUUUUUUGGCUUACUACGUAGUAUUUUGUUUUUCGUCUACUAAAUAUGUUUUUUAUUGUUGGUAUUUUAAAUAUUUUUUCUACACUUAAAUCUAAUUCUUUUUCUUUUAUUUUUCAAAUAUAUUAUUAUCAAAUAUUAUUUUCUGGUCUGUUCCUUCUUCAUUUAAAUAGUCUUCCUUUGUUAUUAUUUUUAUAUCUUCUGCAGUCAUUUGAUUUAUCUAAAUCACUAUCCAUUUCAUUAUCUAUUUCAUUCUCAAAAAUUUCAUAUAUACUAUCUUCACUUUCUAAUUCGUAAUCUGUAUAAUCUAUUUGCAUAUAUUCUGUAUUUUCUAUCUUUAUUUUUUAUAUUUGUUUCUUUUUUUUGGUCUUUAGGCAUUUUACAAUCUCUAGCUAAAUUUUCUAGUUUUCCACAAUUAUAACAAGUACAUUCUUUUAUAGAUUUCUUUCUCCUAUAUGGUCUUUUAUAUUUAUAAUUUUUUACAUAAUAUCUUUUUCUUGGUUUCUUAUACUUAUAUUUUGAUUUUUUGUAUUUCAUAUAUUUCUUUUGUCUUUUUCUUUUCUUAUAAUAUUUUUCUUCACAUCCAAAUUGAGGUGCUAUUUUAUCCUUGCAACAUGCUAAAUUUCUUAUUAAUGUUUUUUUCAUUUUUAUUUCUUCUCUGUAUUUUUCACAUAUAAUCCUAUAUCAUUGUUAUAGAAAUUUUAUUCUUGCUCCUAGGGUAUCUACUAUUUUUGCUUCAUCCCAACUCUUUAUUUUUUUUUUAACUAAAUGGUUUAGGUAAUUUACUAAAAUAUAAUCUUCUUACUUUUUUACUUUCUUUUGUAUUGUAUGUUCUCUUAUAGUGGUAUUCUUUAAAUGCACACAUAUAUUCAUCUAUAUAGCACAUAUUACAUAUUGCUAGUUUUAACAUAAACUUUCUAUUUGUAUCUUUUUCUUUUUUUGUUCUUCUUCUUCUGUUGUCAUACUGCUAAAUUCAUCUCUUAAAGUUAUUUCAUUUUUUUUCAAUAUGUCUAUAGGUGUUAGUUUAAUUACUAUUGUUCCUUCUGUUUUUUAUCAGCCCUUAAUACUGUUUUACUUUCUUCAGUUAAAUUUAAAAACCAUAAUUUGGUUGUUCCUAUUAGCUUUCUUUCUAUAUAUUCUAGUGUAUCUGUUGUAUUUAUACCAUUUUCUAAUAAUUAUUUUUUUAUAUAUCCUAUCCAUAAUUGUAUCAUUUUAUCUACAUCUAUUACACAGUCUAAGUCUAAGAAGUUAUAAUUUUUAUUAAUUAUUUUUUUUGGUGUCCAUUUUCUAUAUUCAUUCUUUAGAUUAUAUCUUUUAAACCUAUCUUUAUAAUAAUAUGUAGGUUUUCUUAUUUCUGAUAUACUAGGUAUUAUAUUUUCAUCGUCUUUUUUACCAUGAGUGUUUAUUUCCGUGUUUGUAGUUUCUAAGUUUUCUUUAUUAAUUACUUCUUGUUUUUCAUUAAUUUCUAGAUUUUCUAUAUUUGUUAAGAUUUCUGUAUAUGUUUCACUAUCUUCCGAAUCAUAAUUAUCUAUUUUUUCAGUAUCUACUGUAUUUAUUUCUAUUUCAUUAGUUUCUAAUUUUUUAUUUUCUUCUUCUAAUUUUUCUUUAAAUUGAUUUAUCUUAAUUAAUAAUUUUUAUUAGCUGUUAAUUUAUCUUCUAAUUUUUAUUCUUUUUUUUUGCUAACAUUAAAUAUAAAUGUUCACCUAUUUUCUUAUAUCUUCUUCCUAAAUUAGAAAAUAAUAUUCUUAUUUUUAAUCCUUCGUGAUUUUCAUAUGUUUUUUCAUCUAUUAUGAAUUCUUCUUUAUUCAUUUUAUCUAUUUGAUGGUAUAUAAAUCAUGUUGAUAUAUGUUUUCUAGGUUAUCUAUUAGAGAUUCUAAAUAUGAUAUUUCUUCUUUUUGUGCUUUUAUUGAUUUUUGACAUACUCCAACAAUUAAAUUAUACUUUUUUCUUAUUUUUAAUUCUUUUCAUUUUUCAGAUAUUAUUUGUUUUAGUUCUUUACAUUUUUGUGAUUUAUUCAUCUGUACAAUAUUUAUAAUAUUUAGGUGAAUACUAAAAUCUGAUUUUAUUAUAAUUAGGUGGUAUGUAUCUCAUUCUUCAAGAUUUCAAAUGAAUUAUUAAUUUUGUCUCAUUGCUAGAUAUUAAGGUAAUUAAGUAAGCUAAUCUAUGGGGGUUUUCUUUUGUUUUAUUUAACUUCUUAUAUUCUGGGUAGUAACUAGUUAAAAUUCUUUUAAGAUCUCUAAAAGCAUGUGUAUUUUUAAACAGUCUUCUCAUAUUUAACAAAUAAAUAACAACAUAGUUAACAAGAUAAUGUAAUUAAUAAUAUUAACAAUUAAGUUAACAUUUCUCGUAGUUAACACAUAGCUACUUGUACAUUUUUUAAAUAACGUGGCUUUGAUACCAAUUGUAGGGGGUGCGGAUAGUGUGGAUAACUUAUGUAAUGCCCUGUACUUUCCUAAGAGGGAAAAUGAACUGUUGUUCGUAUAUGCGAAAAACCCAAUUUUUUAAACCAUAUUUGGGCACCUAAAUCACCAAGAGUUCCCUAGUUAUAAGAGAGCUUAUGAUGUAUUAAGUGUGGUUAUAUGAGCCACUUAAGGUAGUAGAAGCUAAGAGUUUUGAAAUCCAUCAAGUUUUAGUGUUUGAAUUCGCAAGGGUCAUCUUUGAAUGAGCAUAACUUGAUAAAUUUAUGGUAUUUUUUGCAUAUUUCUACCCACAAAAUUAUAAAGAAUUGAAUUAGCUUUCCAACAAUACCAAUUUCAUCAAAAUCCGACACCCGAGCUAGGGUUAUGGCUUUACGAAGUAGAGUGCAUCGCCUAACCAAUCGCAUAUGGCCACUGGAAAGCAUAUGCAAUAGCAUAUGCGGUGCCUAUGUAAACAUAGGUGAUAGCAUAUGCAGUGCCUAUGUAAAUAUAGGCGAUAGCAUAUGCGGUGCCUAUGUAUUGAUUUCAAGCGACUUAAACACUCCGUUUUGCAUUAUUUUAAGGAUAAAUAAAACUUUUAAUAUUCCUUACACGUCCCAAAACACAACCCUACGAAUUUAACUGCUCCUAAACACAUCAUAACACUAUUAGCAGUCUAAGUUCAUCAUCCAAGAGCACUAAAGGAGAAAAACAACUAGGGUUGCACAAUCAACGUUGAGGGUCCAAUCUUUCAUCGAAUCCAUUACCAUAAAGGUAUGUGGGGUUUUCAACAAGAGCCUUCUUUUGUUCUUGUGCCCAAAUUGAUGUUUACAUUUACAAAUAUACAUGGACUUAUACGCUUUACUAUGAAUUUGAGAUAGAAACUUAUAUAUUAUAUUUUGUUCAAGAAGCUAUGAUAUUUUGAUGCCUUGAAGUUAAAUUCCAUGAACUUUGAUGAUAGUAUCAUGUUUAAAUUUAAAAUUUCAGAUUUUGUAUGAAUUAUAUAUGGUUGCUACAUAAAGUAUGAAUCUUGAAGUAUUUUGCUCAAGUGUUGAUAUAUGGGAUUUAAACCCUCUUUGAGAUUAUGAUCUUUGGUGAAGUAAUGUGUUAUACACACCAUGAUACUUGAAUGAUUUGACCUUUUGGUCUUGAAAGAUUUAUUUUGAACUAGAAUGAGAAAAGAAAUCCACAUAUUGAUUUUAUUAUGAAAAAGGAGUAGCAUGAUGGCUCCCGAUAUGAAUUGCUGAAUUAUGUUGUUGUGAGUUUUCUUUUGAAAUGAUCUGAGCUAAUUAUUGGAGUAGUCUUUAGCACCGAGUGGGAGGUAUAGCUGUGAUUGGUACUUCCCUAGAACUAUGUGCCCCCGUAUGAUAUGAGCCUAAGGCUGCUUGAUAUAGUGAUCACUAGUGAACCAAAGGUUAAGGUCCUACUCCGAUGGCAAAGAUAGGGAAGCUCUCCCCAACGUGGGUUGGACAUUGGACUCCAUGUAGCACACAUGGUUUAUCUCGGUUGUAAGAGGCUCCUAGUGUGUAUGUGUAUUCUUAUCUCUGAGACAAAAUAUGAAAUGAUUUGAAAGUUGAGUUGUGAAAGUUAUUAUUAUUUUUUAAAAAGUUUUAAUGAUUUCAUAUUAUCCAAUAGGGAUUUCAUUAUGAGGUUGGAUCAUCUAAUGAAAUGAAAAGUGAUUGAGAAUUUAUAUGAUGACUCACAUGUUGUAUUACACUCUCUGAUAAUUACAGUGAUUUUAUUCGAGCGAUGUUAGUCUUUCAUUACAUCAUGCAUAUGUUCUAUAAAUGCUUAUGAUAUUGAUUUUUAGAUUUGCAUACACCCCCAUAUGCUCGGUCCAUAUCUAUGGUACUGACCUGCAUCUUCGGAUGUGGGCUACAUUUUCUCAGAAUAUAUGUUCAGGUGCUCAGUCCCAGGCUUGACAGUGACUUUCCGAGCACGCUAUUCUACAUCUUCUGUUGUGGUGAGUCCUCAUGAUCUGAGGACGUGACAUCCAGAUUUCUGUUUCGUCGAACGAAGUACUUUUGAUACUGAGUAUGAGUCAGUUGGGGUAUGUCCCAAUGUCUCUCUGAUGUUGUGGACUUUUAGAGGCUUGUCAGACUAGACUAGAUGUUUGGAGUUGUCAUGAGACAUAGUAUUUUGUUACUUUCCGUACUAUUUUUGUCUUGAUUUAUGAUAUCAUGGAGAAUAUUUUUGAGGUUUGUAUAUUGUAAUCCGGUUGAUAAGUGAUGAAUGAUGUGAAUACGGCUCAAAGGGUUAGCUUGAGGUUACUUGUAGCCUUAACCACUGUGUGACGCCUCGGGACCCAUUUUUGGGGUGUUACAAACUUGGUAUCAGAGCCUAAGGUUAUUGGAGUCCUAGGUAGUCUAACAAGCCGCAUUAAGUAGAGUCUUGAUCAUCGAUGUGUAGCGCUCCAUAUUUAUGAGCAAGAGGCUACGAGACGUUUUAGGAAAAAGUGUGAUUUCAUUCUUUCCCAAGUCUAUCGUGCUUAAAGUGUCUCUCUCUGCUAUUAAUUCGUGCUUUCCUCUUUCAGAAAUAUGCCUCCUCAUCAAGCUAGAAGAAAUAACGAUGUUCAGCAACCUCAGCCUGCUAAACCACUAAAUGAGAAUGUGUCCCAUGUUGAAUUUAGGGCAGCCUUUCAGGCGCUAGCCCAAUCUGUUUCCAUGAAUGUUUAGGGAAAUCCAGCCUUGGAUCCACAGCAGUAGAGAGGUGAUUUAGCUGCUGCAAGGAUUCGUGACUUUGUGCGGAUAAGUCCACCAUAAUUUUAUGGGUCCAAGUCAGAUGAGGAUCCACCAUUGUUUUUAGAGGAGGUGCAAAAGAUUACUCAGGUGAUGCAUAUAUCUGAGGAUCAUGGUGUGGAGUUGGCAGUGUAUCGGUUGAAAGACCUUGCUUAUAAUUGGGUGGUUGCUUGGAGAAAAGGCAGAGGUGAGGGUGCUGCCCCUACAACUUGGCGGGAGUUCUAGGAUGUCUUCCUGGAUAAGUUUUUCCCUUUAGAGAUGAGAGAGGCGAAGGUAGAAAAGUUUAUGAACUUGCGACAGGGCGCUAUGACUAUUAAAGAAUACUAUCUAAAGUUCAAUCAGUUGGCCAAAUAUACCCCUGACUUAGUAUUUGAUAAUCGGGCCAGUAUGAGUAAGUUUGUGAUAGGAGUGUCUAGCUAUGUAGUAAAGGAGUGUAGGUCUGCUAUGCUAAACAGUUAUAUGAAUCUUUCCAGGCUAAUGACUCAUGCCUAAUAGAUUGAAGCAGAUAAGAUUAGGGAGAGAGAUAGAAUGAGAGGGAAUAAGAGAGCUAGGUUCGAGUAGCACGGACAGGGUCAGACUAGAUCGCAGAAAAAGAAUCACCCUCAGUUUCAGCACCGUUCAUCUGUGCCAGCACCGUCGUCAGCUAGUGCUCCCAUACCUAGGGGUAGGCAGGAGAAAGAUAAUCAGUCAUAUGUAUCCAGGUUUCAGUACAAUAUUGGCAGUAAGCCAAAUUAUCCUUCAUGUCCUAAGUAUGGUAGGACCCACCCGGGUGAGUGUUGGGGUAAGAAGAAAGGUUGUUUCGGGUGUGGUGACUUGGGUCACAAACUUAGGGAAUGCCCACAUGCCAGACAAGGGCAUCAUGAUAAUCUCCCUCAAAAUCAAACUCAGACUGCUAGUGCUCCAGUUUAGGUGACUCGCCCAGCCCCAGCUCAGGGCGCCUCUUCUAGCACUAUUGGCGGUCAAUACCAGAAUAGGUUCUAUGCUUUACCAUCUCGCCAGGACCAGGAGGACUCUCCUGAUGUUGUUAUUGGUAUGCUCCGUAUACUUCAGUUUGAUGUCUAUGAUUUGUUGGACCCUGGGUCCAGUUUUUCAUAUGUUACACCUCUGAUUGCUGUGAAUUUUGAAAUGAGUCUCGAAAAUAUUCCUGAGCCUAUCUUAGUUUCUACCCCAAUGGGUGAUUCUAUUGUUACCCAAAAAGUGUAUAGAAAGUGUCCUAUUAUAGUCCUUCAUAAAGUCAUGUUGGAUGAUCUGAUUGAGUUAGACAUAGUGGAUUUCAAUGUUAUUCUGGGUAUUGGCUGGCUUCAUUUUUUUUAUGCCUCUAUAGAUUAUCGUAUCCGAGUGGUCAAGUUUUAGUUUCCUGAUGAACCUGUGUUUGAGUGGUUUGGGAGUUCUGUAUCUCCCAAGAGUCAUUUUAUCUCAUAUAUUAAAGCUAUAAAACUUAUUUCCAAGGGGUGCAUCUAUUAUUUGGUUAGAGUCAACGACACUAAGUCUGCGACUCCAACUCUCCAGUCAGUUAGCAUUGUCAAUGAGUUUUCUGAUGUCUUUUUGAAAGAUCUCCCAAGGAUACCUCCUAAUAGAGAGAUAAAGUUUAGGAUCGAUCUUCUUCCCGAUACUCAGCCCAUUUCUAUUCCUCCUUACUGUAUGGCACCUGCAGAACAUAAAGAGUUGAAAGAGAAACUCAAAGAUCUGUUAAAUAAGGGUUUUAUAAGACCCAGUGUUUCUCCUUGGGGUGCUCCUGUGUUAUUUGUGGGGAAGAAAGAUGGUUCUUUGAGUAUGUGCAUUGACUAUUGCCAGUUGAAUAAAGUCACUGUCAAAAAUAAGUAUCCCCUUUCGAGAAUAGAUGAUUUGUUUGACCAGUUGCAAGGUGCAAGUUACUUCUCAAAGAUAGACCUUCAUUCCGACUAUCAUCAGCUCAAAGUUAGGGAGUGUGACAUCCCGAAAACAGCCUUCCGAACUCGCUAUGGUCAUUUUGAGUUUCUUGUUAUGUCCUUCAGGUUAACUAAUGCCCCGACAGCUUUCUUGGACAUUAUGAGUCGAGUGUUCAGACCAUACCUUAAUAUGUUUGUCAUCAUAAUCAUAGACGAUAUUCUAGUGUACUCUCGUAUUGAGAAUGAGCAUGCAGAUCACCUCUAGAUUGUCUUAAAACCCCUUAGAAAUCAUCAAUUGUUUGGCAAAUUCAGCAAGUGUGAGUUUUGGUUAAGAUCAAUUACUUUUCUGGGUCAUAUUAUUUCUUCUGAGGGUAUUAGAGUGGAUCUCCAAAAGACCGAAGCUGUUAGAGACUGGCCUAGACCUAUCUCUCCGACUGACAUCCGAAGUUUCUUGGGUCUAGCUAGCUAUUACCGCUAUUUUGUUGAAGGUUUCUCCUCUAUAGCAUCCCCUAUGACAAGGUUGACCCAAAAGAAAGUGAAAUUCUUGUGGUUCGAUUCUUGUGAGAAGAGUUUUCAGGAGUUGAAGACUCAACUCACUACAGCCCCUGUUUUGACUCUGCCUGAUGGUGUUGAUGGUUUUUUGGUAUAUUGUAAUGCUUCUAGAGUUGGUUUGGGUUGUGUAUUGAUACAGAAGGGUAAGGUGAUAGCUUAUGCUUCUAGACGGUUGAAACCCAAUGAGAAGAAUUACCCCACCCAUGAUCUUGAGUUAGUUGCUGUUGUGUUUGCUCUAAAGAUAUGGAGACACUACUUGUAUGGUUUUCACGUUGAUGUUUUGACUAAUCAUAAGAGUUUGCAAUAGGUAUUUACCCAGAGAGAGUUGAACCUUAGGCAGAGACGAUGGUUAAAAUUGUAAAAAGACUAUGAUAUGAGCGUGUUAUAUCAUUCGGGCAAGGCCAAUGUAGUGGUAGUUGCCCUUAAAAGGGUGUCUAUGGGUAGUGUAUCGCAUGUUGGAGAAGGUAAGAAAGAGUUAGCUCAUGACGUGCAUCGUCUGGCUAGACUGGGGGUUAGGCUGUUUGACUCUGCUGAAGGUAGUAUAAGGGUUCAGAGUAGUUUCGAAUCCUCCUUGGUUUCGAAAGUGAAGGAGAAGCAAGACUUAGAUGCUAGCUUAGUUAGACUGAAGGAAUCAGUCAAGGACCAAAAGAUGGAGGUUUUCUCCCAAGAGGGAGAUGGUGUGUUGAGAUUGCAGGAUAGAUUAUGUGUUUCGUAUAUCGAGGAUCUGAGAUAGAGAAUUAUGACUGAAGCGCACGGUGCACGAUAUUCUAUUCAUCCUGAUGCCACCAAGAUGUACCACGACUUACAGGAAAUUUAUUGGUGGGGUGGCAUGAAGAAGGAUAUAGCAGCAUUUAUGGCUAAGUGUGCGAUGUGCCAAUAGGUUAAGGUAGAACACCAAAGACCUGGUGGUAUGAUGCAGGAGUUCGGCAUNNNNNNNNNNNNGAAGUGGGAAAAGAUAAACAUGGAUUUUGUGACUGGUUUACCUCUUUCCCGAUGCCAUCAUGAUUCCAUUUGGGUUGUUGUGGAUAGAUUGACUAAGUCCGCGCACUUCUUGCCUAUGCAUACUUCUUAUACUACUGAGGAUUACGCUAGAUUGUACAUUCAGGAAUUAGUUAGAUUGCAUGGAGUUCCCUUGUCCAUCAUUUCAGAUAGGGGUACUCAAUUCACUUCGCAGUUUUGGAGAGCAUUUCAGAAAGGUCUUGGUACCUAAGUGCAUUUGAGUUCUACUUUCCAUCCGUAGAUAGACGGUCAGGCUGAGAGGAGCAUCCAGACCUUAGAGGAUAUGUUGAAAGGGUGUGCUCUUGACUUUAAGGAGAGUUGGGAUGAGCACUUGCCGUUGAUAGAGUUUGCUUACAAUAACAGUUUUUACUCUAGCAUUGGCAUGGCUCCAUUUGAGGAUUUGUAUGGGAGGAAAUGUAGGUCACCCAUAGGUUGGUUUGAAGUGGGCGAAGCGGCCGUGAGUGGUCCUGAUUUGGUCUUUGAAGCUAUGGAAAAAGUCAAACUACUUAGAGAAAGAUUGAAAACCGCACAAAGUCGUCAGAAGUUGUAUGCUGAUGUGAGAAGAAGAGACCUUGAAUUUGAAGUUGGUGACAUGGUGUAUUUGAAGAUUUCACCCAUGAAGAGAGUAAAGAGAUUUAGGAAGAGUUAUCUUCCGUUCACUCCGUCUUCCAUGUCUCCAUGCUUAGGAAGCACGUUGGUGAUUAUGUUGUUGUAGAUCCUUCAGAAAAUCCAGAUGUACAAGAUAGUCUUUCUAAUGAGAAAGUUCCUGUUGAGAUUUUAGAUCACCAAGUCCGAAGACUAAGGAAUAAAAAAGUUCCCUUGGUCAAGGUGUUGUAGCGAAACCAAUCCGUUGAGGGUGCAACUUGGGAAGCUGAGGCGGAUAUGAGAUCUAAGUACCCGCACCUAUUUUCCAUAAGCUCCGAUCAAGCCGAAGGUACCAUUCUGCUCUAAAUCAUUCCUUUUCUAUGCCAAAUUGCAGUAGUUCAGCAGUUAUUGUAUGUUAUUCAGCUGUGAUUUCAUCAGUCAUGCACUUCUUCUUGUGUCCGAAAUGUAGAAUUAAGUAAAGGUAAGAUUAGCAAGUUGUGUCAGCUGUGUACCCUUCAUUUUUUCUUUACUCUUAAUAUACCAAACGUCAUUCGAGGACGAAUGUCCCCAAGGGGGAGAUACUGUAAUGCCCCACACUUUCCUAAGAUGAAAAAUGAACUGUUGUUCCUAUAUGAGAAAAACCCAAUUUUGUAAACCAUAUUUAGGCACCUAAAUCACCAAGAGUGCCCUAGUUAUAAGAGAACUUAUGAUGUGUUAAGUGUGGUUAUAUGAGCCACUUAAGGUAGUACAAGCUAAGAGUUUUGAAAUUCAUUAAGUUUUAGUGUUUGAAUUUGCAAGGGUCAUCUUUGAAUGAGCAUAACUUGAUAAAUGUAUGGUAUUUUUUUCAUAUUUAUACCCACAAAAUUAUAGAGAAUUGAAUUAGCUUUCCAACGAUACCAAUUUUAUAAAAAUCCGACACUCAAGCUAGGAGUUAUGGCUUUGCGAAGUAGAGUGCAUUGCCUAACCAAUCGCAUAUGGCCACUAGAAAGCAUUUGCGAUAGCAUAUGCGGCGCCUAUGUAUUGAUUUCAAGGGACUUAAAUACUCUGUUUUGCGUUAUUUCAAGGAUAAGUAAACCUUUUAACAUUCCUUACACGUCCCAAAACAUAACCCUACGAAUUUAACUGCUCCUAAACACAUCAUAACCCUAUUGACAGUCUAAGUUCAUCAUCUAAGAGCACUAAAGGAGAAAAACAACUAGGGUUGCACAAUCAACAUUGAGGGUCCAAUCUUUCAACGAAUCCUUUACCAUAAGAGUAUGUGGGGUUUUCAGCAAGAGCCUUCUUUCGUUCUUGUGCCCAAAUUGAUGUUUACGUUUACAAAUAUACAUAGACUUAUACGCUUUACUAUGAAUUUAAGAUAGAAACUUAUAUAUUAUAUUUUGUUCUAGAAACUAUGAUAUUUUUAUGCCUUGAAGGUGAAUUCCUUGAACUUUGAUGAUAGUAUCAUGUUUAAAGUUAAAAUUUCAGAUUUUGUAUGAAUUAUAUAUGGUUACUACAUAAAGUAUGAAUCUUGAAGUAUUUUGCUCAAGUGUUGAUAUAUGGGAUUUAAACCCUCUUUGAGAUUAUGAUCUUUGGUGAAGUAAUGUGUUAUACACACCUUGAUACUUGAAUGAUUUGAUCUUUUGGUCUUGAAAGAGUUAUUUUUGAACUCGAAUGAGAAAAGAAAUCUACAUAUUGAUUUUAUUAUGAAAAAGGGGUAGCAUGACGGCUCCCGAUAUGAAUUGUUGAAUUGUGUUGUUGUGGGUUUUCUUUUGAAAUGAUCUGAGCUAAGUUCGGGAGUAGUCUUUAGCAUCGAGUGAGAGGUAUAGAUGUGAUUGGUACUUCCCUAGAACUACGUGCCCCCAUAGGAUGUGAGCCUAAGGCUGCUUGAUAUAGUGAUCACUAGUGAACCAAAGGUUAAGGUCCUACUGCGAUGGCAAGGAUAGGACAGCUAUCCCCAACGUGGGUUGGACGUUGGACUCCAUGUAGCUCACAUGAUUUAUGUCGGUUGUUUGAGGCUCCCAGUAUGUGUAUGUAUUCUUAUGUAUGAGACGAAAAGUGAAAUGCUUUGAAAGUUGAGUUUUGAAAGUUAUUAUUAUUUUUUGAAAAGUUUUAAUGAUUUCAUAUUAUCCAAGAGGGAUUUCAUUAUGAGGUUGGAUUAUCUAAUGAAAUGAAAAGUGAUUGAGAAUUUAUAUGAUGACUCACAUGUUGUAUUACACUCUCUGAUAAUUACAGUGAUCUUAUUCGAGCGAUGUGAGUCUUUCAUUACAUCAUGCAUAUGUUCUAUAAAUGCUUAUGAUAUUGAUUUUUAGAUUUGCAUACACCCCCAUAUGCUCGGUCCAUAUCUAUGGUACUGACCUGCAUCUUCGGAUGUGGGCUACAUUUUCUCAGAACGUAGGUUCAGGUGCUCAGUCCCAGGCUUGACAGUGACUUUCUGGGCACGCUAUUCUACAUCCUCUGUUGUGGUGAGUCCUCAUGAUCCGAGGAUGUGACAUCUAGAUUUCUGUUUCGUCGAAUGAAGUACUUUUGAUUCUGAGUAUGAGUCAGUUGGGGUAUAUCCCAAUGGCUCUCUAAUGUUGUGGACUUUUAGAGGCUUGUUAGACUAGACUAGAUGUUUGGAGUUGUCAUGAGACAUAGUAUUUUGUUACUUUCCACACUAUUUUCGUCUUGAUUUAUGAUAUCAUGGAGAAUAUUUUUGAGGUUUGUAUGUUGUAAUCCGGUUGAUAAGUGAUGAAUGAUGUGAAUACGGCUCAAAGGGUUAGCUUGAGGUUACUUGUAGCCUUAAGUACUGUGUGACGCCUCGGGACCCAUUUUCGGGGCGUUAAAACUUAUCAUAGCUCUUGAUAAUGCUAUGUCAUAGCAUUCCUUAGUUAUUUGUUUUAACCUUAUUAAUUCUUCUAUAUUAUUUUUAAGGUAUACUAUAUGUUCCAUAUUUAUAGUUGUCACACCUCUAUUUUUACCGCUCCAACCCUGCUAAGGAGUUGGUUUUAGAGAAAAUGGGUUUUUCUAAUUAAAGUGAUGUUUUGAGUAGGGAUUAUUUUAUUUACAGAGUCACCACAUGAAAUUGAGUUUGGGUGUUACAAGUCACCUUAUUGAAUCCCCAUUCAAAAGAAAAUGACUCUUUAUUUUUGGUCUGCGAACUAGAAACCCGGAUAAGGAAUUCUGUUGACCGAGGGGGAGGUGUUAGGCUCCCCUCGAGUCCCGUGGUUCUAGAAUGGUCGCUUUAAUGACUUACGUCUGGCUUAAAUUAAUCUCUUGGAUACAUUAUAUUUGCUAGCCUAAAAGUUGCUUACAUCCUACUUUGAGUUCAUUUUAAAUUAUCUAAUUAUAUUAAUGCGUGGCUUGCCAGUAGCAGUACUUUCCGGUCAUACCACAAGUUUUGAUACAUUUGUCGUACCUUUGAGGCAUUUCCGAGUCAUCCCCAUUUUUCUAGUCUAAAUAAGCACCUAAUAGGUUUAAAUUCUACCCAACCCAAUUCAAUCGGCUUCAAACAAUAGAUUAAUUUACUAUAACGAAUGGUCGGUAGCAUGGCUUUCCAACUUCAUCGUUAAUUUUCACUUGUAUAUUAACCUUAAAUUUUCUAAUGAUUAAGAACCUAUCUCAUUCUUUUACAAAUUAUAACUUAUCUUUCUUGCUUUUCAAAGCUGUUGUUUCUUCUUUUAUCAACGACAAAGGAAUUUGAACAGAAUCGUAUCUUAUUCUCUUAAAAUCGUUCUAUUAAGUUAAUACACUAAAUUAUGUGUUAAAGUCUUAUUAGACUCAAGGUUCCAAGACUAGCCUUUGAAAAAAUAAAAAUAAACAAGUACUAAUAAACUUAUAAAAGAAUGAAAAAAAAAAAAAAAACAAAUGAAAAUUACAAAUCCGAGUCCAACAAAACUUCAAUGUUCCAUUUCCGACCAUAGCUCACAAUCAAUUCCAUCACUAGAUUAAUUUUGAUAAUUAACAAUUCUUACACACUCCUCCAAAUGGAUCCUAACAUUUGUCUAUAAUAUAUUAACAAAUACAUUCUGUAUGCUACUAACUACCCAAAUGGUAAAAGAGAAAGCAAACAAUAGCUCCAUCUUUUAGGAUGUUAGUUGACCAAGAUUGAGGAAAAUAUUUUCUAGAAAAAAAACACUAACAUUGCCUUUUUUUUUUCUUUUUCUUCUUUUUUUUUUCUUUUUUUUCUUUUUUUUUCUAUGGUUUUUCUUCUUGUCCAUCUCUUUUUAUGUUGUUUUCCUUAUGCGUGUCCUAUCUUUUCGAGUUGAAGUUUUAUGUGUGGGUUUGUGUUAUAUAGGAGUGUCGUAUGUGUAAUGUAGUUGACGUGUAUGUACAUGUGUCUUCUUUUCUCUAUCUCUUUUCUUGACAAAUAUGUAUAAUCCAAAACAAAGAACAUGCACUUCACUUGAACAUGCAUGCAAAUUCAUAAUUUCAUAUACAUAUGUACUGUGAAAGAUAUAUAAAACAACUAAUAUACAUGCUUAUGAAUUCGCAAACCACUAGAUAUAUAAAUUCAUUACAAGAUCUCAUAUAAAUGAUCAAAUAUGCCUUCUAAAUAAUACAUGAAAUCAUAUGAAGAACUUUGUUCGUAUUUAGAUUCACAUGAAAAUUUAUAUAAAAAAAAUAUAUAAUUAAAGAAGAACCUGUGUGAAGAACUAAAUUAAAUAUUGAAAGAAGAAAGCCGUCACCGAAAACUCAAUGAAGACUUCGAACUCUUUUUAUCUUCUGCUUUGGUUUUCCUUUCCCUUUGUAUAUAUGUUUUUCCCUUGUCUUUUUAUUUAACUAAGUACUGAUUUGCUUCUUUUUUUUGUCUUUCUCUAUUUUUUUCUAAGUCCCCUUCAUCCUCCGCUGCUUCUUUCGUGUGUGUAUUAUAUAUUAGAGUGUUG